UACGGGGGGGUAAGCGUUGUUCGGAAUUACUGGGCGUAAAGGGCUCGUAGGCGGCCAACUAAGUCAUACGUGAAAUCCCUCAGCUUAACUGGGGAACUGCGUCUGAUACUGGAUGGCUUGAAUCCGGGAGAGGGAUGCGGAAUUCCAGGUGUAGCGGUGAAAUGCGUAGAUAUCUGGAGGAACACCGGUGGCGAAGGCGGCAUCCUGGACCGGCAUUGACGCUGAGGAGCGAAAGCCAGGGGAGCAAAGCGGG
rnacentral:rRNA from 1 species